UACAGAGGGUGCAAGCGUUGUUCGGAAUCAUUGGGCGUAAAGGGCGCGUAGGCGGUUCGUACAGUCAGACGUGAAAUUCCUGGGCUCAACCUGGGGGCUGCGUUUGAUACGUGCGGACUUGAGUGCGGAAGAGGGUCGUGGAAUUCCCAGUGUAGAGGUGAAAUUCGUAGAUAUUGGGAAGAACACCGGUGGCGAAGGCGGCGACCUGGUCCGAUACUGACGCUGAGGCGCGAAAGCGUGGGGAGCAAACAGG
rnacentral:rRNA from 1 species